CCUACGGGAGGCAGCAGUGAGGAAUAUUGGUCAAUGGGCGCGAGCCUGAACCAGCCAAGUAGCGUGAAGGAUGACUGCCCUACGGGUUGUAAACUUCUUUUAUAAAGGAAUAAAGUGAGGCACGUGUGCCUUUUUGUAUGUACGUUAUGAAUAAGGAUCGGCUAACUCCGUGCCAGCAGCCGCGGUAAUACGGAGGAUCCGAGCGUUAUCCGGAUUUAUUGGGUUUAAAGGGAGCGUAGAUGGGUUGUUAAGUCAGUUGUGAAAGUUUGCGGCUCAACCGUAAAAUUGCAAUUGAUACUGGCAGUCUUCAGUACAGUUGCGGUCGGCGGACUUCGUGGUGUAGCGGUGAACUUCUUAGAUAUCACGCAGAACUCCGAUUGCGAAGGCAGCUUACUACACUGCCACUGACAUUGCUGCUCGAAAGUGUGGGUAUCAAACAGGAUUAGAUACCCGUGUAGUC
rnacentral:rRNA from 1 species